AACGAACGCUGGCGGCAGGCCUAACACAUGCAAGUCGAGCGCGCCUUCGGGUGAGCGGCGGACGGGUUAGUAACGCGUGGGAAUAUGCCCGGUACUAGGGAAUAGCCACUGGAAACGGUGAGUAAUACCUUAUACGCCCUUCGGGGGAAAGAUUUAUCGGUAUCGGAUUAGCCCGCGUUAGAUUAGGUAGUUGGUGGGGUAAUGGCCUACCAAGCCUACGAUCUAUAGCUGGUUUUAGAGGAUGAUCAGCAACACUGGGACUGAGACACGGCCCAGACUCCUACGGGAGGCAGCAGUGGGGAAUCUUGGACAAUGGACCAAAAGUCUGAUCCAGCAAUUCUGUGUGCACGAUGAAGGUUUUCGGAUCGUAAAGUGCUUUCA
rnacentral:rRNA from 1 species